GGGGAUAUAGCUCAGUGGUAGGGUGCUGGAUUAACAAGCGUGAGGUCCUGGGUUCGAUCCCCAGUGCCAGCA
rnacentral:tRNA from 1 species